GACGUGACUUCAGAGUUUGAUCCUGGCUCAGAUUGAACGCUGGCGGCAGGCCUAACACAUGCAAGUCGAGCGGUAGAGAGAAGCUUGCUUCUCUUGAGAGCGGCGGACGGGUGAGUAAUGCCUAGGAAUCUGCCUGGUAGUGGGGGAUAACGUUCGGAAACGGACGCUAAUACCGCAUACGUCCUACGGGAGAAAGCAGGGGACCUUCGGGCCUUGCGCUAUCAGAUGAGCCUAGGUCGGAUUAGCUAGUUGGCGAGGUAAUGGCUCACCAAGGCGACGAUCCGUAACUGGUCUGAGAGGAUGAUCAGUCACACUGGAACUGAGACACGGUCCAG
rnacentral:rRNA from 1 species